rnacentral:rRNA from 1 species
AUUGAACGCUGGCGGCAGGCCUAACACAUGCAAGUCGAGCGGAUGACGGGAGCUUGCUCCUUGAUUCAGCGGCGGACGGGUGAGUAAUGCCUAGGAAUCUGCCUGGUGGGGGGGGACAACGUUUCGAAAGGAACGCUAAUACCGCAUACGUCCUACGGGAGAAAGCAGGGGACCUUCGGGCCUUGCGCUAUCAGAUGAGCCUAGGUCGGAUUAGCUAGUUGGUGGGGUAAUGGCUCACCAAGGCGACGAUCCGUAACUGGUCUGAGAGGAUGAUCAGUCACACUGGAACUGAGACACGGUCCAGACUCCUACGGGAGGCAGCAGUGGGGAAUAUUGGACAAUGGGCGAAAGCCUGAUCCAGCCAUGCCGCGUGUGUGAAGAAGGUCUUCGGAUUGUAAAGCACUUUAAGUUGGGAGGAAGGGCAGUAAGUUAAUACCUUGCUGUUUUGACGUUACCAACAGAAUAAGCACCGGCUAACUCCGUGCCAGCAGCCGCAGUAA